rnacentral:rRNA from 1 species
GUAAUCUAGAGAAGCGUUUUCCGCGCUGGCCCGUGUACAAGUCUCCUGGAAAGGAGCGUCCUAGAGGGUGAGAAUCCCGUCAGGUGACACGGACCACCAGUGCUAUGUGAUCGCUCUCGACGAGUCGAGUUGUUUGGGAAUGCAGCUCAAAACGGGUGGUAAAUUCCAUCUAAAGCUAAAUACAGGCGAGAGACCGAUAGCGAACAAGUACCGUGAGGGAAAGAUGAAAAGAACUUUGGAAAGAGAGUUAAACCGUACGUGAAAUUGCUGAAAGGGAAACGCUUGAUGUCAGUCGCGUCGGCCGGGGAUCAACCUUGCUUCACCGCUCGGUGUACUUCCUGGUCGACGGGUCAGC